UACGUAGGAUGCAAGCGUUGUUCGGAAUUACUGGGCGUAACGAGUACGUAGGCGGUUUGAUAAGUCUGAUAUUAAAGACUGGGGCUUAACCUCAGGAAUGUAUCGGAAACUGUCAGACUAGAGGACAGUAGAGGAAGUCGGAAUUCUCAGUGUAGCGGUGAAAUGCGUAGAUAUUGGGAAGAACACCAGUGGCGAAAGCGGACUUCUGGGCUGUUUCUGACGCUGAGGUACGAAAGCGUGGGGAGCAAACGGG
rnacentral:rRNA from 1 species